UACGUAGGGACCAAGCGUUGUCCGGAAUCAUUGGGCGUAAAGAGCGUGUAGGCGGCUUGUUAAGUCUUGCGUGAAAUCUCGGGGCUCAACCCCGAGCGGUCGUGAGAAACUGGCAGGCUAGAGUGCGGGAGAGGAGAGUGGAAUUCCUGGUGUAGCGGUGAAAUGCGCAGAUAUCAGGAGGAACACCGAUGGCGAAGGCAGUGGUCUGGGCCGAUACUGACGCUGAGGAGCGAAAGCGUGGGGAGCGAACAGG
rnacentral:rRNA from 1 species